rnacentral:rRNA from 1 species
GACGAACGCUGGCGGCGUGCUUAAACAUGCAAGUCGAACGAGCACUUCGGUGCGAGUGGCAAACGGCUGAGUAACGCGUGGGUGACCUACCUGGAAGUGGGGAAUAACUGCCCGAAAGGGUGGCUAAUACCGCAUGUGAUGACUGGACCAAUCCGGUCAUGAAAGUCUUCGGACGCUUCGAGAGGGGCCCGCGUUCGAUUAGCUAGUUGGUGGGGUAAUGGCUUACCAAGGCGACGAUCUAUAGCUGGUCUGAGAGGACGAUCAGCCACACUGGGACUGAGACACGGCCCAGACACCUACGGGUGGCUG